rnacentral:rRNA from 1 species
AAUCCAUAGGUUAAUGAGGCGAACCGGGGGAACUGAAACAUCUAAGUACCCCGAGGAAAAGAAAUCAACCGAGAUUCCCCCAGUAGCGGCGAGCGAACGGGGAGGAGCCCAGAGCCUGAAUCAGCAUGUGUGUUAGUGGAAGCGUCUGGAAAGGCGCGCGAUACAGGGUGACAGCCCCGUACACAAAAGCGCAUGUGCUGUGAGCUCGAUGAGUAGGGCGGGACACGUGGUAUCCUGUCUGAAUAUGGGGGGACCAUCCUCCAAGGCUAAAUACUCCUGACUGACCGAUAGUGAACCAGUACCGUGAGGGAAAGGCGAAAAGAACCCCGGCGAGGGGAGUGAAAAAGAACCUGAAACCGUGUACGUACAAGCAGUGGGAGCCCCACCACUAAGCCAGUGGUGAACUCCACAUACGCAUCCUUUGCUGAGGAGACGGUUAACGGAGCGAAAGCGACGUUCAACCGCAAAAGAAGCAGAGGGGGCUUAGUGGUGGGGUGACUGCGUACCUUUUGUAUAAUGGGUC